rnacentral:rRNA from 1 species
UACAGAGGGGGCAAGCGUUAUUCGGAAUUAUUGGGCGUAAAGGGCGCGUAGGCGGCUUUUCAAGUGACGGAUGAAAGCCCUCGGCUUAACCGAGGAACUGCCUGUCAGACUGGAAGGCUUGAGACCGGGAGAGGUGAGUGGAAUUCCCAGUGUAGCGGUGAAAUGCGUAGAUAUUGGGAGGAACACCAGUGGCGAAGGCGGCUCACUGGACCGGAACUGACGCUGAGGCGCGAAAGCGUGGGGAGCAAACAGG